UCUUAUCUAAUUUAAUAUAAAAUACAUAACUUGUAAUUAUGACUUACAGAUACACAUGUGAUAAGAU
rnacentral:tRNA from 1 species